rnacentral:rRNA from 1 species
GUGAGGAAUAUUGCGCAAUGGAGGCAACUCUGACGCAGCCAUGCCGCGUGCAGGAAGAAGGCGCUACGCGUUGUAAACUGCUUUUAACCGGGAAGAAACCCCAGGACGUGUCCUGGGUUGACGGUACCGGAGGAAUAAGCACCGGCUAACUUCGUGCCAGCAGCCGCGGUAAUACGAAGGGUGCAAGCGUUAUCCGGAUUCAUUGGGUUUAAAGGGUGCGUAGGCGGAGCGUUAAGUCAGUGGUGAAAUCCUGCAGCUUAACUGUAGACUUGCCAUUGAUACUUGCGCUCUUGAGUGCGCUUGAAGUGGGCGGAAUGUGCCGUGUAGCGGUGAAAUGCUUAGAUAUGGCACAGAACACCAAUUGCGAAGGCAGCUCACUAAGGCGAUACUGACGCUGAGGCACGAAAGCGUGGGGAUCGAACAGGAUUAGAAACCCUGGUAGUCC